UACAGAGGGUGCGAGCGUUGUCCGGAAUCACUGGGCGUAAAGGGCGCGUAGGUGGCGGGCCAAGUCCAUGGUGAAAGCUCGAUGCUCAACAUCGAGUCGGCCACGGAUACUGGUUCGCUCGAGCACUGUAGAGGCUAAUGGAAUUCCGGGUGUAGCGGUGGAAUGCGUAGAGAUCCGGAAGAACACCGGUGGCGAAGGCGGCCUGCUGGGCAGUAGCUGACACUGAGGCGCGACAGCGUGGGGAGCAAACAGG
rnacentral:rRNA from 1 species